rnacentral:sRNA from 1 species
AUAUCAUUUUGAGGAAUUCUAACAGAAGUUUCUAUUGGUAGUGUAAGUUGGGUAAAGUGUCUUAUUUUUUUAAAGUAUUUAAAAGUAAAAUUACAUGUUAAUACGUAGUAUU